rnacentral:rRNA from 1 species
ACUCCUACGGGAGGCAGCAGUGGGGAAUAUUGCACAAUGGGCGCAAGCCUGAUGCAGCCAUGCCGCGUGUAUGAAGAAGGCCUUCGGGUUGUAAAGUACUUUCAGCAGUGAGGAAGGUGGGUAUGUUAAUAGCAUACUCAUUUGACGUUAGCUGCAGAAGAAGCACCGGCUAACUCCGUGCCAGCAGCCGCGGUAAUACGGAGGGUGCGAGCGUUAAUCGGAAUUACUGGGCGUAAAGCGCAUGCAGGUGGUUUGUUAAGUCAGAUGUGAAAGCCCGGGGCUCAACCUCGGAAUUGCAUUUGAAAUUGGCAAACUAGAGUACUGUAGAGGGGGGUAGAAUUUCAGGUGUAGCGGUGAAAUGCGUAGAGAUCUGAAGGAAUACCGGUGGCGAAGGCGGCCCCCUGGACAGAUACUGACACUCAGAUGCGAAAGCGUGGGGAGCAAACAGGAUUAGAUACCCUGGUAGCCUCUGC